rnacentral:rRNA from 1 species
GACGUAGGGCGCGAGCGUUGUCCGGAUUUCUUGGGCGUAAAGAGCGUGUAGGCGGCCAGACAGGUCCGUUGUGAAAACUCGAGGCUCAACCUCGAGAUGUUGAUGGAAACCGUCUGGCUAGAGUCCGGAAGAGGAGUGUGGAAUUCCUGGUGUAGCGGUGAAAUGCGCAGAUAUCAGGAAGAACACCUAUGGCGAAGGCAGCACUCUGGGACGGUACUGACGCUGAGACGCGAAAGCGUGGGGAGCGAACAGG